rnacentral:lncRNA from 1 species
AGCCAAUUUCUGCCACAUGGAAUUUGAGAACAGAGUUGCCGGGUUUCCGUAUUUUUCAUGAGAAGCUAGAGAUACAGAUUCCUGUGAAAUUUCCCAAUUUUUAAAGAUGGCCACCUCAUUUCCUUUUGAAUCACAGACUAAAGAUGGAGUGAGGUUAAAUUUGCCCCGCGGCCACCAGGUUCAAUCCCUUGCUUGACCGACGGACACCCUGCUGAAGUACUUUACGCAGAUGGUCCUAUUUCUUCUUUAUAGCGUUCCUGUGACGUAAGCAGUGUCAUGGCGCCUAUUUGACAGAUGAGCAACUGAGACUCGGCAACACUGAGUAGUUUCUCCUGUAUCUUAUUCCUGGUACCUGCACAGUCUUGGACCACAGUGAUCAUUCAUGGUAAUGAUACACAGGAAAUAGAGAUGGAAACUGGAGACCCAUCGGAUGCUGUCUAGAGGAACAACUCAAGUCUCCAGAGAGAUGAUGGUGUAGAACUGGGCAUGGAGCCCCUCCCCUCAGAAUCAGAGGCAGCUGUGCAGUUGCUAAGCCCUGGACGGACAUCUUCUCCGGAGCUGCAGGCUGGCAGGUAAAGGUGAGACGGGAAGGUAAGACAGAG